UAAAGUCUGAAGUACCCGCCCCAUGAGUAGAGACUAAGAGAAGCUUCGGGGAAGUUUCUCUUGUUACCUUCAGCUGUCUGAUGGGACAACACAGAAAAAAAAUGAGACUCUGACAUGUGCAGGAUGAGGAUGAGAGGUAGCAGAAACACAGGAAAAUCCAAAUGGAUUUGAGGACAACACUUCACAAUGAGUUUUCAUGCUAACCUCACAUCCCAUGUGCUGCUGGUUCUCACGCAGGAAGAAAAAUGGAUCAUUGAGAAUGCCUCCAAACCAAUGUCCUGAUGCUGAGGUUUUUUGCUUGAUGAAGUACCAUUGAAUUGGAAUAGUUAAAGUAAAGAAGGAUGAAGGUCAUGAGACAGUUCUACACUCAGAUGGAAAACCUGAGAACGGAAACAAGGACUUCAGCAAAACCACUGACCAUAUCUGCAAGAGCUGCAUAUACUUGGAGAAGAGGAAAACAGCUUCGUAAUAUUUCAAAAAAUUUGGAUUGAAAAUGUAUGCAUAGAAACCUACCUGUAAGUGCAUGGGGGAUUCAUCUACAGUGUGGCUGGAGCAACUCUGCAUUUCUAAACUUAAUUUUAAGUAUUGUGGUCAAAAAAUAUCAUUCAAGAUUGAGAGACAUUGUUUCUCUGGAAAAGAUGACUUAAGGUAUCGCAAUGAAAUGUGGUAAUUAGGAAAAGGAAGUUGUUUUGACAAAUGGUGUCAUUCAAAAAUAUAGUGUAAAUGACUACAUUUUGUGUUCAGUUAGAAUAAGCUGUGGAAUAUGAAGUCUUUGAUGGGGGGGGAGGGGAAGAAAAAAAAAAAAAAACAAAACACCACUUCUUAUACUUCUAGUUAGGGUUUUCAUUGUGGGUGUAGUGCUGUGGAGAGAACUUAAUAGGAAUUUUGCCUCAGGCUAACUUCUCUCCACAAACAAAAAAUGCAAUUCUAAUGUUUCCAAAUGCCGGGCAUACUUCGUGUUGUGUAUUAAAACAGCCGCUUGUGAACUUUGAUUGAACAGACCCUUGUGAACCUUGAUUGGCUCUUUGUGGUGUAUCAUAAAAUAUGAAGAUACUGUAUGGAAACUACAUGCUGGAAAUGUAAGCCUCCAGGUAAUUUCUAUCUAGUUCUGCAGUCAUGUUGUUAAAAGGGUCACUUGUUAUUGUUUCACUUGACCUUCAUUGAAAUCUGCUCUACUACAACAUCACUGGAUGCAGUCCAAGAUGUUUUAUCUUUUAGCCAGUUCAAAUAUGCCUAGUCAUGCAGUCAUGCUGUAAUUAUUCUUUAUCUCAGUGCAACACAGAUUGCUGAAACGAACUACCUCUUGCCCUUACAUUCUGUUUAGACACAUCCACUAUGUGAGAAAGAACGUAUAAAAAAUUCCUUAUACCUUAUUUUGCAUAAUUUCUGCAGGAACCCCAUACACUCAAAGUCCUCAAUGAAAAAACACUUCAGCAGUCAGAUUAUUUUCAGUCAGUUAUCCAUUCAAAGUCUCAUCCUAGAGGUUCUCCAGUUUUAUAAUCUUCAUAGACGAGAGCCCAAGGUUGCAUGGUCAUAAAUGGCCAUAAAUGGCCAUAGUGGAUUUUUAACUUCAGCAAUUCAACACAGAUUACUUUAAAUCUCUAGCAUUAAAAACAAACAAACAAACAAACAAAAAAAAAAAAACACUUGUAGAAGUCCUAGUUUCUAUUGACUUGUAUGUAUCUCAUUAUCUUAGUUUCUUAUUUACUUUGCUCUGCCACUGAUCUAUGGUUUCUGAUUCACCACAGUGCUACACUACUCUUAUUCUGAAUACAUAACUAUGCCUAGAAAAUUAGAGUAACACAGUAGGGUUACCAAUUUUUUGAUUUUUUUAAUAUUUAAGAGUGUUGAAUAAUGUCAUAACCAAGUCAUUUGACACACAUAAAGCAAAAAUACAUAGAAAACUUUUAUAUUGAUUUUAAUUGUGGAAGUGUACCACACUGUGAGAUGAAAUCUGUGCACAAAUAUGAAAUACACUGAUCUGAUCAGCAAGUUAUGUUGGAGCUUUUGUUAAUCAUUGGAUGACCUUUUUCCUCUCUCUGUAUGUUAUUGAAUUCCAAGAGACAGCAAUAUUAGGAGGAAUUUCUACAAGCAGUGGAGUAGGAGCACUUUAGAUUAGAAAAACUGUAAUAGCUCUAGCAAACGUAACUUUUCACCUCCAAUUUGUCAUUUGCUUUUCAUCACGGUUGAUGACAGAUAAUAGUUUUCUCAUUUAACUUGAAUCUUCUAUGUGGAAUGGAGAAUGACUGUUGCUAAAUUUAAAGGAAAACCUUCUAAAGUAAGAACAAUAAAAAGUAUGGCUUUUGCA
rnacentral:lncRNA from 1 species